CUACACACGUGCUACAAUGGUUGGUACAACGAGUUGCGAGUCGGUGACGGCGAGCUAAUCUCUUAAAGCCAAUCUCAGUUCGGAUUGUAGGCUGCAACUCGCCUACAUGAAGUCGGAAUCGCUAGUAAUCGCGGAUCAGCACGCCGCGGUGAAUACGUUCCCGGGCCUU
rnacentral:rRNA from 1 species